GACGUAGGGCGCAAGCGUUGUCCGGAUUUAUUGGGCGUAAAGAGCUCGUAGGCGGCUUGUCGCGUCGACUGUGAAAACCCGCAGCUUAACUGCGGGACUGCAGUCGAUACGGGCAAACUAGAGUACUGCAGGGGAGACUGGAAUUCCUGGUGUAGCGGUGAAAUGCGCAGAUAUCAGGAGGAACACCGGUGGCGAAGGCGGGUCUCUGGGCAGUAACUGACGCUGAGGAGCGAAAGCGUGGGGAGCGAACAGG
rnacentral:rRNA from 1 species